rnacentral:rRNA from 1 species
UACAGAGGUCCCAAGCGUUGUUCGGAUUCAUUGGGCGUAAAGGGUGCGUAGGCGGCGCGGUAAGUCGGGUGUGAAAUCUCGGAGCUUAACUCCGAAACUGCAUUCGAUACUGCCGUGCUUGAGGACUGGAGAGGAGACUGGAAUUCUCGGUGUAGCGGUGAAAUGCGUAGAUAUCGAGAGGAACACCUGCGGCGAAGGCGGGUUGCUGGGCUGACACUGACGCUGAACUGCGAAAGCUAGGGGAGCGAACGGG